rnacentral:rRNA from 1 species
CUCGUAGGUGGCCAACUAAGUCGGACGUGAAAUCCCUCGGCUUAACCGGGGAACUGCGUCCGAUACUGGUUGGCUUGAGUUUGGGAGAGGGAUGCGGAAUUCCAGGUGUAGCGGUGAAAUGCGUAGAUAUCUGGAGGAACACCGGUGGCGAAGGCGGCAUCCUGGACCAAUACUGACGCUGAGGAGCGAAAGCCAGGGGAGGCAAACGG